GGGCAACCUGCCCCCUCCACCGGGACAGCCUCGGGAAACCGUGGGUAAUACCGGAUACUCCGGGACGGCCGCAUGGCCGGCCCGGGAAAGCCCAGACGGGAGGGGAUGGGCCCGCGGCCUGUUAGCUAGUCGGCGGGGUAACGGCCCACCGAGGCGAUUAUGGGUAGCCGGGUUGAGAGACCGACCGGCCAGAUUGGGACUGAGACACGGCCCAGACUCCUACGGGAGGCAGCAGUGGGGAAUCUUGCGCAAUGGGCGGAAGCCUGACGCAGCGACGCCGCGUGCGGGACGAAGGCCUUCGGGUCGUAAGCCGCUUUCAGCAGGGACGAGGCCCUCACGGUGACGGUACCUGCAGAAGAAGCCCCGGCUAACUACGUGCCAGCAGCCGCGGUAAUACGUAGGGGGCGAGCGUUAUCCGGAUUCAUUGGGCGUAAAGCGCGCGUAGGCGGCCUGUUAGGUCGGGGGUCAAAUACCGGGGCUCAACCCCGGUCCGCCCCCGAUACCGGCAGGCUUGAGUCUGGUAGGGGAAGGCGGAAUUCCCAGUGUAGCGGUGGAAUGCGCAGAUAUUGGGAAGAACACCGGCGGCGAAGGCGGCCUUCUGGGCCACGACUGACGCUGAGGCGCGAAAGCUAGGGGAGCGAACAGGAUUAGAUACCCUGGUAGUCCUAGCCGUAAACGAUG
rnacentral:rRNA from 1 species